rnacentral:tRNA from 1 species
GCCCGGGUGGCGGAAUUGGCAGACGCGUCGGUCUCAAAAACCGAUGGCCGAAAGGCCGUGCGGGUUCGAUCCCCGCCCCGGGCACCA